AUUGAACGCUGGCGGCAGGCCUAACACAUGCAAGUCGAACGAGUGGCGGACGGGUGAGUAAUGUAUGGGAACCUGCCUGCUAGAGGGGGAUAACUCCUGGAAACGGUGGCUAAUACCGCAUACCAUCGGAUGUACCCAGAUGGGAUUAGCUAGUUGGUGGGGUAAAGGCUCACCAAGGCGACGAUCCCUAGCUGGUCUGAUAGGAUGAACAGCCACACGGUAACUGAGACACGGUCCAGACUCCUACGGGAGGGAGCAGGGGGGAAUAUUGCACAAUGGGCGCAAGCCUGAUGCAGCCAUGCCGCGUGUAUGAAGAAGGCCUUCGGGUUGUAAAGUACUUUCAGCGGGGAGGCGUUACCCGCAGAAGAAGCACCGGCUAACUCCGUGCCAGCAGCCGCGGUAAUUC
rnacentral:rRNA from 1 species